UACAGAGGUCUCAAGCGUUGUUCGGAUUCAUUGGGCGUAAAGGGUGCGUAGGCGGCGCGGUAAGUCGGGUGUGAAAUUUCGGAGCUUAACUCCGAAACUGCAUUCGAUACUGCCGUGCUUGAGGACUGGAGAGGAGACUGGAAUUUACGGUGUAGCGGUGAAAUGCGUAGAGAUCGUAAGGAAGACCAGUGGCGAAGGCGGGUCUCUGGACAGUUACUGACACUGAGGCACGAAGGCCAGGGGAGCAAACGGG
rnacentral:rRNA from 1 species